rnacentral:tRNA from 1 species
GGGGUUGUGGCGUAACCUGGCAGCGCAGCAGGCUCCAGACCUGCGAGUCGGGGUUCAAAUCCCCGCAACCCCA